UGUACAUCAGUGUAAUUUCCAACUUUCUAAAUACCUUUUUUACAUCCAGCUUCAGGCUACUGCUGCUGCUGUGUGUUUGCUUUAAAUUUAACAUCACAAGUCUUGUGGAAAACCACAUCUGGGAACAUUACUACAUGUAAAGUAUGACCAUCUCAUUGGCUGGGUCGCUGAUGGAUGUCCCGGGGACGGGAGCCUCUACAGACAGGACUCCAUCACCAGACAGCGAGGAGCUGAUAUGCUAACUGAGAGCCCUCUCCAGAGCAUAUCUCAGACGCCUGAUUUUCAAGCGGAUCUUCUGGACUCUCGGGGACAGAAAACACUGGAAUAAA